rnacentral:lncRNA from 1 species
GUGUGUACUGUCGCAGAAACACAGUGUAGGUCAUUAGAACAAGCUGCCAACUUAGCGUAGUAUUGCAUAAACGUUUUAGUCAUUCAAUUAUUGUGAGCAUUUAGCAAAUAAUUCCGUUCACUUUUGUUUCUCAGACAAUCGUAGUAUCUGUGUUACGGUGCCCCUUCCCCCUACACGUGGCUCAAACAAAGCGUUCAAUCAAGUAAGACUGUUCCAAUAUUCCCGGACUACAUCAGUGGAUGAAAUAAAGCAUGGAUUGUUUCACCUGCUAUGAAUUCUUAAUCUCUCCAUGCUGAAAAAAGAUUUCUUCAACAUGCCUGUAGAUCUUGGCAAUUCAAUCUGAUCACGUGGCCUGAAACUCCUGUACACAUUUUCCCAAAAUGUCGUCUCUUGCUUCACGUACGUUCGUUUCGUCACAUGCAGCUAAAUACUUCAGAACAAAAAAACCUGGGUAAGUCUGAGCUUCUUCAUUGCAGUCCAAUGUGCAAAUGGAUUUGUUGCAGCCAGCUGGUGAAAGGUGUUCUUCUUGCACAUUGCUACCUUUAGGUUUUUAGGUUUUUAGGUUGUAGCUUUCAUCACAUGCAGAAACACUCCAUGACAAUUUGAAGUGCCGGAGUGUCUGUUCGUGAGUGACGAAAUACCGCUAUUUCUAUUUGCUUUUCAGACAGGACAGGAAUGUGUUGCUGACAGUGUUUUUCGAGGUCUGAGCCUUCCUUUCUGUUUUUUUCUUUUACAUUUAGAAAUGAUAAGUUAUUUCCACGCCAUUCAACCAACCUGAAGCGAAUCAUUCUUAAUCAAGUAAUAUGUCGAAGAUCUGGCCUUUCUUAAGGUGAUCGCUGCUGUGUCAUGAAAAUGCGUCUUUGAGACUAUAUUGCAAGACUAAAAUGUGAUGAAAACAGGAAAUCUGAAAUGGAAAUAAUUUACUUGUAAGAUAAACCAAAUAGGUUAGCAUUUUGUUCUUGAUGUUAAAGACAAGUGACUUCUUAUUUCGUGGUUCAAAUUAAGAUAGCUUUUGUGAAAACAUUUUUGUCAGUUUCUAAAGAGUUUUAACUUUUUAUAUUGAACUGAUAUUACCUUCAUUCUUAAAAACUUGAAAUGAAAUCUUCAUUAUGUGAUGAUCUCUGGUCAUCUUCUUGAUUUUGUUUUCUCUAGUUUAGUGUACAGUACAUUUGAAGUAAAUUUUUUUUAUACAAAAAAUCGCAAAACAAAUCACAGGAAAUAUUUGCAACUGAUGGGUAACUUUAGCUUACCCAUGUAAUCUCAUUGGAUAAAUGAGAGGAUAUUCUCUGUAAUAUCUCCUAUCUCCAUA